UUGUGCCAGCAGCCGCGGUAAUUCCAGCUCCAAUAGCGUAUAUUAAAGUUGUUGCAGUUAAAAAGCUCGUAGUUGGAUUUGUGGUGUGACUGAUCGGUCCGACCUUUGGUGGGUACUCGAUCUUGUCACGCCAUCCUUGAGUGGUUCGCUCUGGCAUUAAGUUGUCGGGGCGGCAGCCGCUCAUCGUUUACUGUGAGAAAAUUAGAGUGUUCAAAGCAGGCUUAUGCCGUUGAAUAUACUAGCAUGGAAUAAUAAGAUAGGACCUCGGUACUAUUUUGUUGGUUUGAGAACCAAGGUAAUGAUCAAUAGGGACAGUUGGGGGUAUUCGUAUUCAGUUGUCAGAGGUGAAAUUCUUAGAUUUACGGAAGACGAACUACUGCGAAAGCAUUUACCAAGGAUGUUUUCAUUAAUCAAGAACGAAAGUAUGGGGAUCGAAGAUGAUUAGAUACCAUCGUAGUCUAUACCAUAAACUAUGCCGACUCAGGAUGGGCGGGUGCCACUCUGGCCUCGUCUGCACUGUAUGAGAAAUCAAAGUCUUUGGGUUCCGGGGGGAGUAUGGUCGCAAGGCUGAAACUUAAAAA
rnacentral:rRNA from 2 species